GCUCUCAGAUUUGGGUUGAAACUUAAGUGAUAUCAUAGGUUGACCUACCUGUUUAACCUACCUGUUAAACAUAAUCACUUAUUUGCUUUCCCUCUUGGGCAUAUGUUUUUAUUUUAUUUUAUAAAGUAAGAUAAAAGAUAGGGGACUCAAAAUAUUCCUAUCAGGCUCUGACAUUAGUUUGUAAAAUGGCCAAAUUUCUGUUAAAAAACAAGUCUUUAAAUCCUCUCAAAUAUCUUUUCAGAUUUCAGCUGGGACAAACAGUAACCAUUUCUGGCAUCAUUAAACAGUUCCAUGGACCCAAGAGGGUGCAGAGCCCUUCUAGAGUCUUUUCCUCUGAUAGCCAAAAGACAGAGUUGACAGCCUUCAUGUCACAGUUCCCCAGUGAGACACUGUCUCUUUACAAUACAACCAGGUAACCAUGAUCGUUAAGAUUUUGUGUUCUUCCUGUGCACACUUUUGACCACAAAAUCUCUCAUUGUUAUCUCCGUCCACGCAUACCGUCUCCAUGUGCUGGAAAGAUUAGUUGCUAACUCCCCUGCCACCACCAAUGUAAAAGAAG